rnacentral:rRNA from 1 species
AGGACGAACGCUGGCGGCGUGCUUAACACAUGCAAGUCGAACGGUGACCCUCGGAGCUUGCUUCGGGGUGAUCAGUGGCGAACGGGUGAGUAACACGUGAGUAACCUGCCCCAGACUCUGGGAUAACCCCGGGAAACCGGAGCUAAUACCGGAUACGACACGGAGAGGCAUCUCUACCGUGUGGAAAGUUUUUCGGUCUGGGAUGGACUCGCGGCCUAUCAGCUUGUUGGUGAGGUAAUGGCCCACCAAGGCGACGACGGGUAGCCGGCCUGAGAGGGCGACCGGCCACACUGGGACUGAGACACGGCCCAGACUCCUACGGGAGGCAGCAGUUAGGAAUUUUCCGCAAUGGGCGAAAGCCUGACGGAGCAACGCCGCGUGUGUGAUGAAGGCCUUCGGGUUGUAAAGCACUGUCGGAGGGAAGAAGUGAAUGACGGUACCCUCCAAGAACGCCCGGCUAACUACGCGCCAGCAGCCGC